rnacentral:rRNA from 1 species
AUUGAACGCUGGCGGCAGGCCUAACACAUGCAAGUCGAACGGAGUGGCGGACGGGUGAGUAAUGUCUGGGAAACUGCCUGCUGGAGGGGGAUAACGUCCGGAAACGGGCGCUAAUACAGCAUACUAUCAGAUGAGCCUUGGUCGGAUUAGCUAGUUGGUGGGGUACAGGCAGACAAAGGCGACGAUCCGUACCUGGUCUGAGAGGAUGAGCAGGCACACUGGAACUGAGACACGGUCCAGACUCCUACGGGAGGCAGCAGGGGGGAAUAUUGGGCAAUGGGCGAAAGCCUGAUCCAGCCAUGCCGCGUGUGUGAAGAAGGUCUUCGGAUUGUAAAGCACUUUAAGUUGGGAGGCGUUACCAACAGAAUAAGCACCGGCUAACUUCGUGCCAGCAGCCGCGGUAAUAC